UGGGGAAUCUUGCGCAAUGGGCGAAAGCCUGACGCAGCAACGCCGCGUGGAGGAUGAAGGCCCUUGGGUUGUAAACUCCUGUCGGCUGGGAAGAACUCGUACGAUGCUCAUACCAUCGUGCGUUGACUGUACCAGCAAAGGAAGCCCCGGCUAACUCUGUGCCAGCAGCCGCGGUAAUACAGAGGGGGCUAGCGUUAUUCGGAAUUAUUGGGCGUAAAGGGCGCGUAGGCGGCCUUGCGUGUCUUUCGUGAAAUCCCUCGGCUUAACUGAGGACGUGCGGAAGAAACUGCAGGGCUUGAGUCCGGGAGAGGGGGGUGGAAUUCCCAGUGUAGCGGUGAAAUGCGUAGAUAUUGGGAGGAACACCGGUGGCGAAGGCGGCCCCCUGGACCGGUACUGACGCUGAGGCGCGAAAGCGUGGGGAGCAAACGG
rnacentral:rRNA from 1 species